CGAGGAACGCAUUGACAAUUGCGCCACAUGCGCUACGAAAAAUACAUGUGCUACAAACAUGGAAAUGGACGCAUCCUCCGUUACUAUGGAUGCACGUGCAAUUGAAAUAGUGAUAACGGAUGAAGCGGAUAAUAGCAGGCGAGUGAAUGGCGCUAAACAGGCGUCAAUUUGGAAAAGAAUUGGUCGCGUUCUGAUUGACAAUCGCAUGAAAGGAAAACCCGAUUGUGAACGUGUGUUACGAGGACAUCCUGAAGAAAAUAUAGUAUUAAAGCGCGUUUUAAAUAUUAUAUUUAUCAUCAUAGGGGUGUGUUUACUUGUUGCAGUUUUCAUCGUUAUCAUAUAUACAGCAAUCGUAGGUGAUGAACCAUAUGAACCUGAUGCUCGUGUGGUAACUAAUGGCAACACACCAACACAACCAAUUUCUAGUACAAAUGUUACAAACAGUACAUCAACUGGUGUGGAACCACUCGUUCAAGAUAAUAACUGAGAUGAUGGUAGAUCUUAGUUUGAAAGUAAAUAUGUGAAACACAAUUUUAACAAGAUCCAACACCUUCUUCUGGUAAAGUAACAACGCCUUUCUGAUGUCAUGCAUUCCACAAAUGAUCACCAUAUUCUGCUAUACCACCAUCUAGACUACCAGAAACAGUUCCACAAAACAAUAUAUAACAGGAAUUAAUAGGAACAACAGAUGUCUUCAUUGCUGAAAAAAUAUAUGUGUAAGAUUGUGCAUGGUGUAGUUCAGAAAAUAAUUGUGUAGGUCAGAAAAGAAAAGUCAUAUCUCUACUCUCAGCAUUUUCAUGUAUUCAAAAGAUAUCUGAUGUCUAAAAUAAUGCUGUGUUCACUUGGAAUUAAUUAAAGCAAAUUAUGUUGAGAUGAAAAUUUGUGUUCACGGUGACAGGAUUAGUGUUUGUGUAGUAGACAAAAUGGUACAGCAAACAUGUUUAAGAAAUUGUGUUACAUUGGGUUUUUACCCAAACCUUCAGCUCACAAUUGUACUUUUUUACCCAAAGCAAAUUGCCCAAAAUAUCAGUGUUCAAAGAUACACCAAGUGGAUUAGUGACUCAAAAAGUUAACUUCAGAUGUGAAUCACAAUGCAAACAAACAACCAUAAACAUGAAACUAAAUUUAGAUUGGUGUAAUUUAAUUUUUUUUAAACUUAUCGCAUUGCAUUAAUACCAAACAAAUGCAAAAAUAAUGGAAAUCAAACUGCAAGUAAAAGUUAUGGUGAAAAUUCUGAAGUACUUGUAUACAUUAGGUAUUAGAUACAUUGCCUUAUUUUUUAUCCUAAAAUUCCAAUUAGAUAAAGUAGUAUAUUGUGAUUAUAAUGUUAACUUACAAUAACAUUUUGAUGUUUUCUGUGGUGAACCCAGAAUAAUUUGUAUACGGCCAGUGUAAAAAUGAAGUCAACAUAAGUAUGCUUUAAACCCCACAAAAAAGAAAAGCAAAUUUAAAAGAAGAUCUGAAAAUGUUAUCAAAGUGAACCCAUAGCAGUACUGCUACUAGCUAGUUGUGGUCUGCUUCCACCUGGGGUAAUAUCACAGAAUAGACGAGAAUGAAUUAAAUACUCUAUUAGACAGUAGUGGAUAGCAUUCUAUUGUAUAAGUGGAAACACCAAUUGACCACUUAUAGUGGAACUUGUUACUUUUUUCUUUAUUGUGUAAAACACAGUUUGACUCACUGAUUCCUAGGGUUUGGCCAUGCUAAAUCUGCUGUAUGUGCUUCAAAUGUUUUCUAGUCAAUGAAUUCCCAGCAAAAAAAUGUGCAUUUUAGAAUAUUUUUAUUUAUGAUCAAUGGGGCUCUUUUAUCAGUGAUUGUUGACUACUUGAGAUAUUUACUGGCCAGACAAAGUAAAAUGGCUAUAAAUUAUUUUGGUAGAUUCCAGCAUUACCCUUUCAGUGUCAUGGGAUCAACAGCUUUUUGUUUUUUUAUCCCUACUGUAUCAAGUGUUGAAAAUUUCUGUCAUUUAAAUCAUUCAGAUGGCCCAUUGAUAGCCAAUUAAGAAUGGAGAUAUUUUGAUGUGUGUUUAUCUUGUUUUUAGAAAUUGAAAUACAUGUUCUGAUUCAAGACAUCGCUUUUCGCUUUAAUUAUCUGCUGAAGUUUUAGUCAAAGCCUAAACAUCAAAAUGGCUUAAUACAACGAAUACAGAUGAUGAUGUAUGAAUUGAACUAAAUUUGACAUAAUUGUGAGAAAUAUUAAAAAAAAUGUUAUAUUAAUAUAUUAGUACAACAAACUUCUCAAUAACUAAAAUGGUCUAUCUUAUUUUUAUACUUGAUCUAUAAACAACCUCUCAAACUUGACAGCUAGAUAGUCCGUGAUAUUGUCAAACAUGCCUUGUAUUCCCGGUCAUGACAUCAAAACAUGUCUGGUACUACAAGGUUUAAAUAAACCAUACUAUGCAUGAGUCUUUUACUAAAAAUACAUUUUCUGAUGAUUCUGAAUAAAAACUCUUUGGAAUGAAACGAUGUGCCAAAAAUUGUCUGCCUAAUAAAAUGUUGAAUUAAGAGCCUUACUGAAAAAGACCCUGUAAAUAUAUUUGAUGCCAGAGAACCUAUUGGCAAUCUCUGUCAUCAACCAUUAAUCAUAUUAGAUUUUGAUACACCCACAUUGAAGUAUUGUCGUAUGUCGGUCCGUCAGCCAUGAUUGCUUAAGGAUGCUCUAAAGGCUAAAGAUUUCCAAUAAUUACUGUUAUAGUUAUGGGGUUAUGACCCUUGAUGACUGUGAAAAAUCUUGUGGAUGCUCUCUAUAUUCUGAAGUUUUCCUUUAAUUGACAUGAAAUUUAUGCACAGGGUUGAUUUUCAUGUUGAUUUUCAAUAAUUUCUGAUAAUUGCCACAGGAGUUAAGGCCCUUGAUCACUUUGGUAAACUGUGUAGACAAUCUGCAGGCUAAAAUUAUCGUCUGAUGAAAACGUUGUUUAUGUUCAUAUCAUGAGACAAAGAAUAUG